GCACGGCCCAGCCGUUCAACGGCUCCGUGCCGUGGUUCAUCACCUCGACGGAGCCCUGGAAGCCGCCGUUCCAGGAGUUCUCCACGUUGUACACGGCCAUGCAGUCGCCGGAGUGGGUGGGCGGCGGGGUCGUCGGGUCCGUCGGGGUGGGCGGCGUCGGUCCGGGCGUGCCCUCCGAGCCGCGGAUGCCGGUCACCUCACCGUUGCCGCCGUCGAAGACGACGUCGGAGCAGGAGAAGAAGUUCUCCUGGCUGUCCGAGCGCACCCACUGCAUGAAGAUCAGCGCGUCACCCGAGCGGCCCGAGGGCAGCGCCAGGUCCCAGUAGUAGUGGCCGCCGUCGGUGCCGGGCGACCCCUGCUGGGGCGGGUCGGUCACCGUGUCGAUCAGCUCCAGGUCGUCCCAGCCCAGCUCGGACGUGGGCGACCAGCCCGGCUUGGUGAGGUAGACCCGGAAGUCACCGGGGUGGGCGGCCCAGUUGCUGUACUGCACCCUGAUCGUCGAGCCGGACGUCAGAUGCGUGCGGGGCCAGUCGCCGCGAGCGGCGUUGUAGGCGGAGAAGUCGUACGGGGAACGGUCGCCGGCGCUGCACAGGGUGCCGUCCGGCACGUAACCGGCGCCGCGCCCGCCGGCGUUGGAGUCGAGCACGGCGAACCAGUUGUACAGCGCCGUCGCACCGCUCUGGUCGAGCGCGGCCUGACAGGCCGGGUUGGUCGGAUCCAAGGCGCCGGUGCCGGUCUUGGCGUCCAGCUGGCAGAGGUAGGUCCGGGAGCCGGGCAUCAUCGCCACCCCGUGCGCCUCGGCCCGUCCCUGUCCGAGCAGGAAGGUCACGCCGAGCGCGCUGAGCAAGGUGGCCAGUACCGCCGCGAGGGUGAGGGAUCUGCUGCGUCGAGCCAUGGGGUCUCCUGUUCCGGGUGAUCCGGGGUACUUAGUCCUUCUGUCGUCGACGAAUCGCUCUGAUGAUCAGGGCAUGACAAAUCGGGGGUGUUGGAGCCCCCGCCCGUCCGGGGAAGGCGUGUCGGCCGGACGGGCGGGGGAGCAGGGGGCGGGCCGCUACGCCGUGGUGCAGGGGGUGCCGUUCAGGCUGAAGCCGUCCGGUUCGGUGAACGUGCCGCCGUACGUGCCCUGGAAGCCGAACGUCGCGCUGCCGCCGGGCGCGAUCCGGGCGUUGUGCCCCAUGCCGGUCGCCGUGACGGUGCCGGCGGACGGGGUGACGGUGGCGUUCCAGGCGUUGGUGAUCCGCUGGCCGGAGGGGAGGGUGAAGGCGAGCCGCCAGUCGUCGACGGCGGCCGUUCCGGUGUUGCCGACCGUGACGUCCGCGGUGAACCCGCCCUGCCAGACGUUCGUGCCGUACGUCACCUCGCACGCCACCGGGUCACCGGGAUCGGGAUCGGGGCCGCCCGGAGUGCCGCCGGUCUCGACGGUGGAGGAGAAGGAGUUCACGGUGAGCCCGGUGCCGUUCUGCCACGGCUCGAACCCGGCCUGAACGCUCGUGAGGUACCAGUCGUUCUCCGCGAGUCCGCGCGCGACGGUC
rnacentral:rRNA from 1 species